UACGUAGGUGGCAAGCGUUGUCCGGAAUUAUUGGGCGUAAAGCGCGCGCAGGUGGUUUCUUAAGUCUGAUGUGAAAGCCCACGGCUCAACCGUGGAGGGUCAUUGGAAACUGGGGAACUUGAGUGCAGGAGAGAAGAGUGGAAUUCCACGUGUAGCGGUGAAAUGCGUAGAGAUGUGGAGGAACACCAGUGGCGGAAGGCGACUCUUUGGCCUGUAACUGACACUGAGGCGCGAAAGCGUGGGGAGCAAACAGG
rnacentral:rRNA from 1 species